rnacentral:rRNA from 1 species
UACGAAGGGGGGCUAGCGUUGCUCGGAAUGACUGGGCGUAAAGGGCGCGUAGGCGGCUCAUACAGUCAGAUGUGAAAUUCCUGGGCUUAACCUGGGGGCUGCAUUUGAUACGUGUGGGCUUGAGUGGGGAAGAGGGUCGUGGAAUUCCCAGUGUAGAGGUGAAAUUCGUAGAUAUUGGGAAGAACACCGGUGGCGAAGGCGGCGAUCUGGGAAGAUACUGACGCUGAGGUGCGAAAGCGUGGGGAGCAAACAGG